AACGAACGCUGGCGGCGUGCCUAAUACAUGCAAGUCGAACGAGAAAGUGGCUUCGGCCAUGAGUACAGUGGCAGACGGGUGAGUAAUACAUGGGUAACCUACCUCCGAGAUUGGGACAACCUUCCGAAAGGAGGGCUAAUACCAUAUAAGACCACAGUGACACAUGUCACAGGGGUCAAAGGUGGCCUCUAUUUAUAAGCUAUCGCUUGGAGAUGGGCUCAUGCACCAUUAGCUAGUUGGUGAGGUAACGGCUCACCAAGGCUCUGAUGGUUAGCUGAUCUGAGAGGUUGAUCAGCCACACUGGAACUGAGACACGGUCCAGACUCCUACGGGAGGCAGCAGUAGGGAAUAUUGCGCAAUGGAGGAAACUCUGACGCAGCGACGCCGCGUGGGUGACGAAGG
rnacentral:rRNA from 1 species